AACUCUUUUUUUUUUUAUUAUUAUUCAUUCAACAUGACCCUUUUGCAAACAUAUACACACAGACAAGGUAUGAUAACUUGAGAAAACCCUCACUUCACAAAACAAAAUACACGCACACAAGCAGACAUCCCCCUCAUUUCACCUCCUUCACUGCAUUCUUCUUUAAGAAACCCUAAAUUCCUUUCUUCCAUCCACACAACACCCCUUUACAUCACUCCCCAACCUCUCGAUCUCCGAUUCCGGCGACUGGAGCCGCUUAUCCGGCGACUGGAGUCGCUUAUCCGGCGACUGGAGCCGCUUAUCCGGCGACCGGUUACCUCCGGCUACGCCACGAUCACCCCUAACUCCUCUCUUUCCCCUAAAAUCAUCGCCCACACACACAAAUACACCCAACCCCCCCGUCAGUUGUAGAGCUGACCACCAUCGGGUGGUGGUGAGCGACGUUUGGACCCAGAAGUAAGAGAAGUCAGAGCGAGAGAGAGAUCUGAAGAGUAGAAGGUGGAGCGGCGCGGCAAUGGAGGCGAACGGCGACGGACCGCCGUUGGCGGCGGAGCCGCGACGGCGGCGGCGUGCUUGGUCCAGUGGGUUCCACGAUUCAAGCAUGGUUCGGGUUAGCCUCGGUUCAGUCAACGGCGCUCAGUAGUGGGGAUGGUUAUCUUGUUUGAAGUUUGGGGUAUAUUUUGGACUCGGUUCCUUGGUUCACACUUCAGAUUCGGUUUUUGGUGAUUCGGGUGUUUCGGUUCAGAAUCAGAGUUCGGGUCAACCCAGUCAACACAACGGGUUGACUGGUCAAAGCUGGUCAACGAGUUGACUCAGUCAACGGAAGUCAAAAUCAGUCAACAGUUCGGUCAACCGUGGUCAAAGUCAGAUUUGGUGCGGUCAAACUCAGUCAAUACGAGACGCGGAAUGCUUUAGUUGCACGCUAGCGAGUUCACAUUCUUGGAAUGACAUCACGGAAUCACGUUAAGCUAG